CUUAUACCGUGAAACUGCGAAUGGCUCAUUAAAUCAGUUAUCGUUUAUUUGAUAGUACCUUUACCUGGAUAACCGUGGUAAUUCUAGAGCUAAUACAUGCUAAAAACCCCGACUUCGGGAGGGGUGUAUUUAUUAGAUAAAAAACCAAUGCCCUUCGGGGCUCCUUGGUGAUUCAUAAUAACUUAACGAAUCGCAUGGCCUUGCGCCGGCGAUGGUUCAUUCAAAUUUCUGCCCUAUCAACUUUCGAUUGUAGGAUAGAGGCCUACAAUGGUCUUAACGGGUAACGGGGAAUUAGGGUUCUAUUCCGGAGAGGGAGCCUGAGAAACGGCUACCACAUCCAAGGAAGGCAGCAGGCGCGCAAAUUACCCAAUCCCGAUACGGGGAGGUAGUGACAAUAAAUACUGAUACGGGGCUCUUUCGGGUCUCGUAAUUGGAAUGAGUACAAUCUAAAUCCCUUAACGAGGAACAAUUGGAGGGCAAGUCUGGUGCCAGCAGCCGCGGUAAUUCCAGCUCCAAUAGCGUAUAUUAAAGUUGUUGCCGUUAAAAAGCUCGUAGUUGAACCUUGGCCCUGGCUGAUCUGUCCUCCUAAUCGAGCGCACGGAUUCGGUCGGGGCUUUCCUUCUGGGGAGCCCCAUGCCCUUCACUGGGUGUGGCGGGGAACCAGGACUUUUACCUUGAAAAAAUUAGAGUGUUCAAAGCAGGCCUUUGCUCGAAUACAUUAGCAUGGAAUAAUAGAAUAGGACAUCGGUUCUAUUUUGUUGGUUUCUAGGACCGCUGUAAUGAUUAAUAGGGACAGUCGGGGGCGUCAGUAUUCAAUUGUCAGAGGUGAAAUUCUUGGAUUUAUUGAAGACUAACUACUGCGAAAGCAUUCGCCAAGGAUGUUUUCAUUAAUCAGUGAACGAAAGUUAGGGGAUCGAAGACGAUCAGAUACCGUCGUAGUCUUAACCAUAAACUAUGCCGACUAGGGAUCGGACGGUGGUUUUUUUAUGCCCCGUUCGGCACCUUACGAGAAAUCAAAG
rnacentral:rRNA from 1 species